rnacentral:rRNA from 1 species
GACGAACGCUGGCGGCAUGCCUAAUACAUACAAGUCGAGCGAACAGAUGAAGUGCUUGCACUUCUGACGUUAGCGGCGAACGGGUGAGUAACACGUAAGGAAUCUACCUAUAAGCGGGGGAUAACAUUCGGAAACGGGUGCUAAUACCGCAUAAUAUCUUCCUCCGCAUGGAAGGAGAUUGAAAGACGGCUCUGCUGUCACUUAUAGAUGACCUUGCGGUGCAUUAGUUAGUUGGUGGGGUAACGGCCUACCAAGACGAUGAUGCAUAGCCGACCGGAGAGGGAUAUGGGCCACAUCGGGACUGAGACACGGCCCACACGCCGACGGGAGGCAGCAGUAGGAAGUCUUCCGCAAUGGGCGAAAGCCUUACGGAGCAAUGCCGCGUGAGUGAAGAAGGCCUUCGGGUCGUAAAACUCUGUUAUAAGAGAAGAACAAAUUGUAGAGUAACUGCUACAGUCUUGACGGUAUCUUAUCAGAAAGCCACGGCUAACUACGUGCCAGCCGCCGCAGUAA